CGUAGGAGUGACGAUUCGAAUCAAGGAAAGAUGUGGAAGCCGUCAGCUUACAGUGUUGUGUGUCACGCCCACUUCCGACCGUCUGAUUUCAUUGCCGUCAAUAGUUAUGGUUUUCCAACAAGCUGAGACCCAGAUGACUCAAGAAUACAGGAUGUACACCUCUGAGGAAGCAAAGAAAACUGGAUGCUGUGCCUUCAAUAUUUCCCUGGACCAAAUCAGCCGACCCACUUGAGGCCAAUAGAAGGCAGUGUCGUGUCGAACAACGGGAGAGCAGAAAGAGGACAUUUGAUACUAUGAAUGUUGAAUGUGAUAUUGAAUGUAACAUCAAUGAGUUAGCAGGGGAGGAAAUAAUUGACCAUAUUGAAUUUGAUGAUAUGAAUUCUGAGC